CAGAAGGUGUAAACCAGGAAAGAAUGAAGUUGCUUGUGUGUGUUCCCCUCCCCCUCAACUUUUUAAUCACCCCAAAGUUCCCUGCAGCAUUUUAUUGCUGGGUAAAUUUGCACACUUGGCCAACUCAGCUGAAAGGUCAUUGGCAUAUGUACUUUUCUUCUGUCCUUACUUCCAUUAUGUGUGAGGUUCAGGAACCUGAAAUUGUGCACACUGAAGCCAGGAAGCCUGGUGUGAAGCAGAGAGAAGUGCUCUGGUAGGAAGCCAGAAGGAGAGGAAUUUGAGAGCUAUAAUGAUGUGAAAACCACUCUUAAUUCUUGAACCACCUACAGCCAGCUCUGCUGUGACCCUGCUGAAGCAGCCUGUGAAGCUGUCAGCUCAGUGAAAGUGAGGUCAAUCUGACCACACUCUUCCUAAAGGAUCCUCUUCUGAACCAUCUACUUGAGUAUACAGCUCCUGACAAAUCAAUGACAGAAUCGAGAGGCAUGUACUUUGCCCAGAAACCUGGAGGCUGAUUGUCCUUUGCCGUGCAUCUUAUGUAGCCAUUUAGGUGAGUGCAGCAUGGGCAGUGCCUGAUAACAAUAGUAACCGUUAGCAUGUGCAUCCCGGUGAUGUAAAUGCCUGCCUGAAGAUGCAGGACAACAGAGAUGCAGACCUCUGUCCUACAAUGUAAAGA